UGGGGAAUUUUCGGCAAUGGGGGAAACCCUGACCGAGCCAUGCCGCGUGUAGGAUGAAGGCCUUCGGGUUGUAAACUACUGUGGAAAGAAACUAAAAAAAUGAAGAUCUUUCUAGAAAGAGGUUGCAAACUCUGUGCCAGCAGCAGCGGUAAUACAGAGACCUCAAGCGUUAUCCGGUUUCAUUGGGCGUAAAGCGUUCCGAUCGGUGGUUUAGUGUGUCUGUGGUGAAAGACCGAAGCUUAACUUCGUGUUUGCCAUGGAAACUGCUAAACUUGAAGAGUAAAGGGGUGGCUAGAACUCUGCAAGUACCGGUGAAAUGGGUUGAUAUGCAGGGGAAUACCAAAAGCGAAGGCAGGCCACUGGGUACUUCUUGACACUGCUAGGACGAAAGCGUGGGGAGAGAAUG
rnacentral:rRNA from 1 species